UGAAGGUUUGAGCAUGUAUCAACUACCAGUUGGGUAUGGAAAACCUUUUUACAUCAUGCAGUGAAUGGCUAGUAACUGCCUAUGCCUUCAAAUAAAUUGGAUGUAGUGGACAGUUUUGAUAGCAGUUAACUUGCAUGCAGUUUACUUUUUCUUUAGUGAACAAGGAGUUGCCUAAACUUGUAUUCCAACUGGGCUCAUUUUCGCUUCCAGUUUGCUGAUCAUUGAUUUGCAGUAGUAGGGAGUCCUUUGGACCGCAUUUCUUCAGAUCACAAGAACAGGAGCCUUGAAAGAGCAGCCUAGUUGAAGAUGGUAUUUCAAAAUGGUAGAUGUUAGACUGCAAUCGAAGAAGCUGCAGCAGCAGGAUUGCUAAGCCACGUAGAAGGAAAAAUGAGGAGAAAAAGUGAUUCCAAGUACAGUGCUAAUAGAUUAGUGUGGUUCUGUAAUGUAAUCCAUUUUAGUCUUUCCGAGCACUUGCCGAUGUCAUCAUCGGAUGCUGAAGUAUAGUUGUAACACAUAUUUGGAUUUCGAUUUAUGGUGUUGCAAAAUCUGGAACA